rnacentral:rRNA from 1 species
AUGGACCCGCGGUGUAUUAGCUAGUUGGUGAGGUAACGGCUCACCAAGGCAACGAUACAUAGCCGACCUGAGAGGGUGAUCGGCCACACUGGGACUGAGACACGGCCCAGACUCCUACGGGAGGCAGCAGUAGGGAAUCUUCCGCAAUGGACGAAAGUCUGACGGAGCAACGCCGCGUGAGUGAAGAAGGUUUUCGGAUCGUAAAACUCUGUUGUAAGGGAAGAAC